AUACGGAGGGUGCGAGCGUUAAUCGGAAUUACUGGGCGUAAAGCGUACGUAGGCGGUUGGUUAAGUUAGAUGUGAAAGCCCCGGGCUUAACCUGGGAACUGCAUUUAAAACUGGCGAACUAGAGUUGAGUAGAGGGGCGUGGAAUUUCUGGUGUAGCGGUGAAAUGCGUAGAGAUCUGAAGGAACACCAGUGGCGAAGGCGACUCCCUGGACUCGAACUGACGCUGAGGUACGAAAGCGUGGGUAGCAAACGGAAUUAGAAACCCUAGUAGUCC
rnacentral:rRNA from 1 species